rnacentral:lncRNA from 1 species
UUGACAUUUUCUUGAGGGUACUUUCUCCAUCUCCAUCAACAGAACAUUUAGAUGGUACUGUAUGUCUUGGUUCAUUGGUGCACAACUGAUCGCUGGUAUUAGUGACCGCUUGUUCAGCGGCCCCUUUUUUCUUCAUAUCUGACAUGGCAAGCAUUUCACCGAGUGUGCUCAAGCUCCUUCGCACUAGCACUUUUUCUUGGCUGAUCUCA